GUGAAACUAUAUAUAAAAAUAUAUUUAAAUAGAAACAAAUAUAAAUGAAAGGAGAAGACACCACGUGAUCCCACAUUCUCGCAACAAUUGUUAAUAUGAAGUGACGGCUCUUGGUGAAAAUAAAUGUCAAAAAAUAUUAUUCCAUUACGUUCCUGCAUAAUUACGAAAAGCAGAAAUUUUCAGUGACCUUGUAAACUUGUGACUAUGACGAAUCAUGAAACUAUUGAGUGUGUAAUUAAUUAAUGAGAGUGCGGCUGGAAUUUUUUUCACAAUACAAUAUAAACAACGUCAGAGUCGCAGUUGCGACUGGAAAACAAGUGCAUUCACGAACGAGUUUGCUUCAAGACUUUUUACAACGAAAGCCGCGUUUGCAACUUUAUUGAAAAAAUGUUUCCGCGAUAUUUCGAUGGACAGCGUUCAAUGUUCAGGGUUCACGGAAUUUUUCUUCGAUCGUGACUACUCGAAACAGAUUUGAUAUUUACUUCGCAUUACCCUCAUUUCGGUUAGCCGGAAAAUCUUUUUAAAAGAUAAAUCACAAAUCUCUGGAAUAAGCUCUGCCUCAUUUGUGAACCAAUAUUUCGAGUAUUUGAACUUAGCUUGAGAUAAAAAAUAUUUUUCUAGACCAUCCAACAAUAGACUGGACCAAUGUAGUUUGAAAAAUCUUCGUCACAAGAGAUGAGCUCGUAAAAAAAUUAUUUGGAGAUCCGAACGGAUAACUUUCUCCAAAGUCCUUGUCAGUUCAGUGUGUGAGCCAAGUGUAGUUGCAUACGAAUGCUAAAGUGAAAAAUUAAAUAGUAUAAUACGUAGCUACGCUGCAUGCCCGCAUUUGAGUAAUUGAUAGAAAAA